GAUGAACGCUAGCGGCAGGCUUAACACAUGCAAGUCGAGGGGCAGCAUAAACAUUGCUUGCAAUGUUUGAUGGCGACCGGCGCACGGGUGCGUAACGCGUAUGUAACCUACCUCAAACAGGGGCAUAACACUGAGAAAUUGGUACUAAUUCCCCAUAACACUUUAAGAGGCAUCUUUUGGAGUUGAAAGUUCCGGCGGUUUGAGAUGGACAUGCGUUGUAUUAGCUAGUUGGUGAGGUAACGGCUCACCAAGGCGACGAUACAUAGGGGGACUGAGAGGUUAACCCCCCACAUUGGGACUGAGACACGGCCCUU
rnacentral:rRNA from 1 species